GAGAAAGUCGAGAGCUACAGUAGGAGAAGGCGGGGUGUAGAAUGUCAGUGUAUGUGUACUUUCGGAGUUAGACGGAUAACAGCAGAAAAGGGAGAGGUGAUUCACCUGCCACCACAUCGCUAGGCUUCCCAGCUCACUCAGGAGGAAACCUGAACAAACACGAGGAGAACGUGCAGGCUGCACACACAAAGAAAUGGUGGCGGGAAUCGAAACCCCCAAGCAGGGAGUUGUCAGGCUGCUGUGAUGCCCACUGCACCAGCAUGUCGGCCUCCUACAGUAAAAAUAUAGGUGAAUUGUUACCUGCAUGAUGGCGAAUGGUUCCUUGCAUUUGGUAAACAAAUAUUUUCAGAAAGCCUGGACGACAUAAUGUUGUUUUCUUAGCAAGUCUAGCAGUGUUCUAAUU